GACAUCUAGCUGCUGCUGGGGCGCCGGCGGCCGCCUCUCACCGGCCGAGCGGAGAGGAAGGAAGGAGCCAGAGGACAGGAGUGCAUGGGGACUCAGAAUCCUUAAUAGGGGAACUGAGGGUGAAGGGCGCGCAGCAGCCCCCACCUACUCCCAAGAUUUUAAUUUGCACUGGAUACGGGUUUUGUCCCCCCCUCCCCGCACCCCGGUGCUCAAGCACGCAGUUUUGUCUCCUCUUCCAAUGUUUGCCCCAAUUCAGUGCGUGUCAUCUCGCCUUUAACUUUUUUCUCAUGGCUCGGGGCUGCAGUCCCCCUGACAUCUGUUUUAAAAGGCCGCUUUCCUAGCCCAAACCCGGCCCUCUCAUCCUCCUGGUUACUGCGCGCCUCCCGGCUUGAGCAUCCGGAUUUCAAUAAGUCUCCCGAGGCAGAGUUCGCGGGCGCUAGUGAACCAGGUGCCAGAAGGUCCGCGGGGAUCUAUUGUCGAAGCGAGACACCCGUUUUUAGCUGUCGCGAUUGCUGGAGGCCAAGGUCGAGUCCUGGGAGAAACUUUUCUCUCUCCCAAACCUUGGACAGCCUCUCGGCUCUGCCCUCAUCCUACCCCCCCGCCCCCCAGCAAUCUGGGUGGAAACAGUUCCCGAGAACUGCGCCCAGCUCAGUGCACAGUCUUCAGGGGGCAGGGGGAAGCUUGGACAACCUCUGGGCCCCUCAAAAGUGUGUCCUCCUUCAGCUGGCCGCCCUACUUCAGAGGGUAGAGCAGCCAAAGAAAAUGUACUCUUCCUCUGACUGCAGAAAGCUGCCCUCUCCCCUUUUCCCUGGAGCUGAGCGAAGAAGCAGCAAGGAUAUAACACCUGAGCUGGGAUUUCACCUGGGACAAGGAGAGGCCUCCAGAUCCACUUGACCACGAGGAAGUGAUGCAUGGGGCAUCCUGUGUGGACAGGACCAAAGGGCAAAUGAGGAAAGAUCCUGACAGUUUCCAGUUUACCCGUUCUCCUACGAGCCUCUUUUUCCUUAGCAGCCUCUUCUACCUGACUGGGUUUCUAUGGGUGCAAGGAUGGGGGCAGAAAGGAAGGCAUCAUAAUGUGGACCUAUUCAAGACCUUGGUCAAGCCAGUGAUCUUCCCAUCUUCCGCUUCCUCCUUUGUACCGUAAAUACUUUAUGCUCCUUUGUAGCAUAAAGGCUGAGAGCUUGGGCUUUGAUUUAAUCAGGUGGGUCUAUAUUCAAUACGUCCACCACAUUGGUCCUGGGUGGUCUCAGGAAAAUUACUUAAGCUCUCUGAUUUGCAGUGUGCUCGCCUGUAAACUGAGGACAAUUAG
rnacentral:lncRNA from 1 species